UUUGGAGGCAGGACCAUAUGUGCAGCAACUGAAAAACAUAGAGGGUCUGAAUUAAAAGCAUUCUGUAGAACCCUCGUAUACAAUAAGUUUUAUGCAGUGAUGAACCCAUUGGUACAUUCCAGCCCAUAGAAAUGGCUGGUCCAGCCCACAAUGAAGCUCUGCAGGACAGAUGCCCCACCUCCACAGGCCAGAUCCAUGUUAUCAUUACCACUACCACCAUCAUUACCUCAUUCUUUGAAAUACUGGAGAUAAAGAGAUUAAGACAGAAGAAAGGAAUCUCUUGGAAAUACACAACUGUGAUGAAUACAUAUGUCAGCUGGGUGCUGCUGUGAUGAAUUUCAGGGAAGAUGAAAAGGGUUUCCCUGGCAGCAAAAAGUUGGUAACAUAAAGAAGAGAAAAUGAAGCAAACCAGUUGUAUUUAUCUUUACAUCAUAACAGACAACCUUACUCCUGUUUUUGUGAUGUUUUCCCCGCUCUUAUCUUAGAAGGUUUUCUAUUUGAUAUGAAGUAGUAAUAAGAAAAGGAAUAAAAUAAAAAAUCUGGAUACAUUUGUCUUUCACAAUUCGUUAUAAAAGUGCCAGUGUGAUGCAUUUAAUGUGUCCUGAUUUUACUCUUUGCAGAUGGCUAAGAUACAGGAAGGGCUUAUCUAAAUAUUUUGAAUAUAAUUGUGAUUUGAUAUAUCACCUUUCCUCUCCCUUCUACCGUAUAGCUCCAUUGUUGAGAUCAGCAAAGAGUCUCCAGGACCUUGAGGUAGGCCUGAUAAAUAAUACAACACUGGAACCAAUGGCAGUUUUGCAAUGACUUUAUUAGGUGCAGGUUUCAGCUUCUCUGGUGUGGGCUGUAUGAGCCAGAUCCUAUUCUACCUAGUAGGUGUCUAAGUGACAUGUCCAACACUAUCCACCCUGCUUUAGUCCUUGAAAACCUACCAAAUGGAUCAAUAUUUGUAAUGCCUUAAGUUAUGGACUAAGCCUAAAUCAUAAAAAACAGCAAGGAGGAGGAGGACCCAUUCACCUUUUACAAUAAUGUCUUUUUCAGGGAUGUGAACAGAGUGGAAUAGCAUUACUAACAAAUAGAAGAUCUGGCCCAGUGUUUUUAAACUUGGUCUCUAACUUGGUCUUUCACAACCUGAGUCUGUAAACUUUCAUGCUAGAAAAAGUCUAUUUUCCCAGGCUGUUUAAGAAGGAUUGGUUAGGGACUGGAGUGGUUAAAUUCACAGGCACUUCUUUUGCAUGGUUUAAUGAAUUAAAUAGGUGCCCAGAAAAUAGGAUUUGGACUUAUAUAUACACAUAGGCACCUCUCUUAUAAUAGUUUCAUAGUUGUUUGGGGCUGGAAGGGACCUUACAGAAGAUCAGGUCCAGCCCCCCUGCACUUGGGUAGGAAAGACUGCUGGGAUCAGGUGACCCCAGCAAGAUGGGCAUCGAGACGCUUUUUGAAGAUCGCCAGGGUGGAUGACUGUAUCACCUCCGGUGGGAGCCUGUUCCAAACCCUUGGCACUCAGCUUGUAAAGAAGUCUUUCCUUAUGCCUAGCCUGAAGCGGUCUUCAAUCAUGCAUUAAUUCAACUAAAUACAUGCUAUAGUAAUACUCCCAAAAUAAUUUUCACUGUGUUGGGCGCUGCAUGACAAUGACAGAUAAUCCCUGUCCUGGAGAGCUUACAAUAUAAAAACAAGCUAUAUGUUAACUGCUACAAGAAAAAAGUGGCCCAGCACAUUAAAUACAAGUUAUGGAAGCAUUAUUCUAGUAUAACAUUUUAAAAAAUCUUGUACAUUUUGUGAAAGUGUAGGAACUUUUUGCAAUAUAAAACUGCUCUUUAUUUUGUAUGUAGUUAUAUAGAACAUUUUAAGAAUUUGUUCAAUUGUAUUUGAACCAACCUACAUUUUUGGUAAAAUGCUUGCUUAUUUUAUAAUUUUACUUAAAUGUUGUAGUAGUAUACAUUCACUGGAAAAAGUAUAGAGAAUAACCUCUAAAUCAAUCCAUGAAAGGACGGUUGUAGUUAAACUCAUAUAAUUACAGAUGUUAGCACUGAAUAGUCCCUAAAGUAAUGAAUGUAGUGUUCUCCAUUGCCAUGAGACAAACUGGCUAAAUUUAAACUUGUAUAUUGUGUAGUAGCAAAAUUAAACUGAGAUGUUGGA